CCCGCACAAGCGGUGGAGCAUUGUGGUUUAAUUCGACGCAACGCGAAGAACCUUACCAGGGCUUGACAUCCCCUGACCGCGUAUGAAAGUACGUUUUCACCCUCGGGUGACAGGGAGACAGGUGGUGCAUGGUUGUCGUCAGCUCGUGUCGUGAGAUGUUGGGUUAAGUCCCGCAACGAGCGCAACCCCUACGUUUAGUUGCUAACGCGUGAAGGCGAGCACUCUAGACGAACUGCCGUUGACAAAACGGAGGAAGGUGGGAUGACGUCAAAUCAUCAUGCCCCUUAUGUUCUGGGCUACACACGUGCUACAAUGGCCGGUACAGACGGACGCAAAGCCGCGAGGUGGAGCAAAUCCUAAAAAGCCGGUCUCAGUUCGGAUUGCAGGCUGCAAUUCGCCUGCAUGAAGUCGGAAUCGCUAGUAAUCGCAGGUCAGCAUACUGCGGUGAAUACGUUCCCGGGCCUU
rnacentral:rRNA from 1 species